CNCCUNGGNNNUACGUACGCAAGUAUGAAACUUAAAGGAAUUGGCGGGGGAGCACCACAAGGGGUGAAGCCUGCNNNNNNAUUGGAGUCAACGCCAGAAAUCUUACCUGGGGANNNNNCAGAAUGAAGGUCAAGCUGAAGACUUUACCAGACACGCUGAGAGGUGGUGCAUGGCCGUCGCCAGCUCGUGCCGUGAGAUGUCCUGUUAAGUCAGGUAACGAGCGAGACCCCUGCGUCUAGUUGCUACCAUUACUCUCUGGAGCAGUGGAGCGAAUUGGACGGACCGCCACAGUUAAUGUGGAGGAAGGAAGGGGCCACGGCAGGUCAGUAUGCCCCGAAACCCUAGGGCUACACGCGGGCUGCAUGGUAUUGACAUGUGUUCCGAAUCCGAAAGGAGGAGGCAU
rnacentral:rRNA from 1 species